rnacentral:lncRNA from 1 species
ACUUCCUCCUUGUGCCCCGAAGGCCAGCCCGGCACUCAGGCCAGGGCACUUGGACACCACGCUGCAGGAGGCUGGUCUCGCCCAGGCCUCUGUGGGAAGGGCCGCCAGGCUGAGUGGAGGGCCAGCCACCAGCUACGGUGUCUUCCUUCGCAGGUCUGUCCCCCCAGGCAGAAGGAUUCCAGCCCAGGGAUCCCCCAUCCCACCCUGACUGCAUCCUGAGAAGGGGGGACGCCACUUCGGGAAGGUUGUUGGGGCAGCACAGGCCCUGGGGCCCUGCUCUGUGACCUUGGGCGGCCCCCUCUGUCUCUCUAGGCCUGUAUGCACCACUGGCAAAGGGGGCAGGGCCCAAGUCUACUCUAAAAGCUCCCCUUUCUCUCCAGAAGCUUUGGAGUCUCCCAAAAUGCCUGCUGGGUCUCUGCAGGACUGGCACCUGUCACCGGAACCUGUCUGGGAGGGACGAGAACACGCUUUGCAAGAGGAAGCUCUGCCUCACAGAGCCCUGGGCUCACUCAGGGACCCUGGCCAGCAGCUGCUUCCUCUCCCCACAGCGGAGAGAGACCCAAGGGUCCCAGGGCGGAUGCUUCCCACCAGGCCAGCCCAGCGUGCAGGGUGGCCUCGUAAGUCCUGAUUGACAUAUGGACAGUGGUUCAGAGAGGUUACGCUACUUGCUCAAGGUCACCCAGCUCCCAGGCCCCUGCUGUCUUCCAGGCCACUGAGGUCCUAAGCGUCCUUCCAGGCGAGCCACUGCUCACAGCCUGUUCCUCAUGUUCUGCGGCAGGCAGCUCUGCUCACACUGUCCUGGCUGCUCUGAAUCCCUGGGCCCCGAUUGGCCCCUGCCGUGGCCCAGCUCAGCAACCCCUCCCUGCAGACCAUCCCAUGACUCUGCAGGCGCUGCUCCCCUCUCUGCCCACACCCCGGCUUCGUGGGCCUCUCCCGCCACCCUUAUCUCAUUCCCUACAGAGUUAAGGAGCCCUGUGUGCUUAUCUAAUCCUGUGCUAGUUUCAGACUCCUUGAGGGCAAGGUCCAUGACUUACUCAUCCUCCCUGGCUGCUUCCCCCACCCACCAGCAUAGUAGGUGUUCAGGAUACAUGGGCUGGAUGGUAGGGCCCUGGACUCUAACCCUCUUGGGGCUGUCAGGCCUCAGACUCAGAGCACUGGCAUAGGGUGAAAGGGGAGCAGACAGCAGCCACCCUGCCCUGGGGGUCCUCCUGCAUCUGCCUCUGCAGAGCACUGCGAUCCCACAAAGGCCUGCGAGGGCUAUUGGAGACCUGUUCCAAUGCAUGAGCAAGGCGGAUCCAGCACCCUCCCCCAGCUCCUUGAGCCCACUGACCUGUGUCCUUUACCCAGCAGGCCCUGGGCCCAUGCACAUUUCCCUGGCCUGGGUCUCACCUCCAACCCCUCUCAGAACUCCUCAAGACCUGCCCAAGGGUCACUCCCUCGCGGACACCUGCCUGGCCCCCCGCCCCGCCCCCCAUUACCCCACUCACUGGCUCCCUGGAUGCUCUGUGGCUGGGAUGUUAGCGCCCCCAUCAUGCCCCAUCACCCACACCGGGCUAUUUCCCCCACCAGCCUGAAAGCCCCCAGGAGUGGCGGCCACUGACUUUUUUCCUGUAGCCUCAGACUCAAAGGAGGCACUUAAUAAAUGCACACAGAAGGACUGACCUUGUGCAUGAGCAAAGUUGCUUAGGGAGGGAGCCUAGACACAGUGGGGCGGUCAGCACAGAGCUGGCGGUGGGAGGCCUCAGUAGUAUUGUCUUUGUCCCAUCGUCCACACCACACGUGUGUGAAACGCUACGCUGACAGAGGCCCUGAGAGGUUGUGCAGAUUGACCGUACGCCAGCCUCAGAGAGAGAAGGCCCAGGCGGGGAGGAGUAAAGCCUCCCUGGGAGA